GGUUGUAAGAAGUCAAACUCUAUUCAACUGGCAGCAUAUUGACCACUGGAAAUGUUUCAUAUCUCAUCAGCAUUCCUCUCUCUCA